GGCUGCCACCGAGCAGGCUCCC
rnacentral:misc_RNA from 1 species